CUUUAAGGUACGGUGAUCAUGUCUUUAAGGUACGGUGAUCAUGUCUUUAAGGUACGGUGAUCAUGUCUUUAAGGUACGGUGAUCAUGUCUUUAAGGUAUCAUGUCUCAUGUCUUUAAGGUAUCAUGUCUCAUGUCUUUAAGGUACGGUGAUCAUGUCUUUAAGGUACGGUGAUCAUGUCUUUAAGGUACGGUGAUCAUGUCUUUAAGGUACGGUGAUCAUGUCUUUAAGGUACGGUGAUCAUGUCUUUAAGGUACGGUGAUCAUGUCUUUAAGGUACGGUGAUCAUGUCUUUAAGGUAUGGUGAUCAUGUCUUUAAGGUAUGGUGAUCAUGUCUUUAAGGUACGGUGAUCAUGUCUUUAAGGUAUGGUGAUCAUGUCUUUAAGGUCUUCAGCACGACAGAAGAUGAAACGUUCCUGUGUUUCCUUUUCAUUAGUAUAUAUUUAUAUAUUACAUAUCUUUAAUUUAUUUACGUUUCAUUUGGAGAUGUCAGUCUGCCAUGUCUGUCGCGAAUGACACACCCCUUUUUUUGGGAGUAACUGGUACUGUCAAACUAUUGGCAGGGACUUGAUGAAAGCCUUACUGCUCUCCAAUUGGCUGCGUCAUAGUUGUCAUGCUAAUGAGGCUCCCUCAUUUCUGUCCAAUGAACUGGAGGAAGGGAGAAACUCCCCAAUCAACAGCCAACAAAGUACAAUUCUAUUUGAAUUGAAGUGAAUGUACAUGUCUGUAUGUUAACUUAUCUUUCCUUGGAUUCUUUAAGUUCCUUUUCCAACACGAUGGCUAUAAAUGGACUAACUACAUCA
ensembl:lncRNA